rnacentral:rRNA from 1 species
ACGGAAGGCAGCAGUGGGGAAUAUUGGGCAAUGGGCGAAAGCCUGACCCAGCAACGCCGCGUGAGGGAAGAAGGUUUUCGGAUUGUAAACCUCUGUCCUAAGGGAAGAAGGAAGUGACGGUACCUUAGGAGGAAGCCCCGGCUAACUACGUGCCAGCAGCCGCGGUAAUACGUAGGGAGCAAGCGUUAUCCGGAAUUACUGGGUGUAAAGGGAGUGUAGGCGGGACUGUAAGUCAGAUGUGAAAUAUGCCGGCUCAACUGGCAGACUGCAUUUGAAACUGCGGUUCUUGAGUGAAGUAGAGGUAAGCGGAAUUCCUAGUGUAGCGGUGAAAUGCGUAGAUAUUAGGAGGAACAUCAGUGGCGAAGGCGGCUUACUGGGCUUUAACUGACGCUGAGGCUCGAAAGCGUGGGGAGCAAACAGGAUUAGAUACCCUGGUA